AAGAUUUAUCUGGGGAGGCUUAAGAGAUAGCCUGAGAGGAAUAAGUUAUUCGACCCAUGACCUGAUUUGGAUAAUGCCAACGUAGGAAGAUAAAAUAUGUAUAAU
rnacentral:ncRNA from 1 species